UCAGCAGGUCUUGGCUCUUUUCCUGGAGGUU
rnacentral:piRNA from 1 species